rnacentral:rRNA from 1 species
UAGGGAAUAUUGCAAAAUGGGCGAAAGCCCGAUGCAGCAACGCCGCGUGGGCGAUGAAGGCCUUCGGGUCGUAAAGCCCUUUUUGAGGGGAUGAGGAAGGACAGUACCCUCAGAAUAAGCCUCGGCUAACUACGUGCCAGCAGCCGCGGUAAAACGUAGGAGGCGAGCGUUAUCCGGAUUUACUGGGCGUAAAGCGCGUGCAGGCGGAUUGGAGAGUUGGAUGUGAAAGCUCCCGGCUUAACUGGGAGAGGUCGUUCAAUACUUCCAGUCUUGAGUGCAGUGGAGGGAAGUGGAAUUCCGGGUGUAGUAGUGAAAUGCGUAGAUAUCCGGAGGAACACCAGUGGCGAAAGCGGCUUCCUGGACUGUAACUGACGCUCAGACGCGAAAGCUAGGGUAGCAAACG